CUUACUUUCGUUGUCGGUAUCAACGACUACCAAUGGAGCUGUGCAAACACCAUCCUGGCUAAGUUGUCUGUGGCAGUGGCACCUCCACCAUUUAUGGGGGUUUACUGGUUUAUUUUGUGGCUGCAACUAGUGGAUUCUCAGACAACCAAAAGCAAGAAAACAGGUCCUGGAGGCUUGGGGGGCUCUCGAUGCUCCUGAUUCCAUGCUGUGCCACAUCCAUUAAGCUGUAAUGAGAGGGCAAGCUGAUUGUUGUUGGGGAUUCUCACUGUCUGAAGACAGCCUCUCUUGCAGAAACACUGAUGUGUGUUUGUGUCCCCAUCAGUAGGUAACAGACUUAAGCUUUAUGGGCAAUGAAGGAUCCCCAGUCUUUUGUUCAGAGAUAAUAUCUCCGA
rnacentral:lncRNA from 7 species